rnacentral:rRNA from 1 species
CAAGUAGGAGUCAGGUUUUAAACCUAAUGGCUCUUUCAUGAUUAUAUGAUAGGUGGUGCAUGGCCGUUCUUAGUUCGUGGAGUGAUCUGUCUGCUUAAUUGCGUUUCAAAAUUUAACUUGAGGACCGGGUUUUGGUUUGGCUAGUGGUUCUACGAUGACUGUGAACUGUCAUGUCUUCGGAUGUGCGACUAUUGGUCUAGGAUCACAUGACUUGCCCCUGGGCUCUUUUGAACGCAACGGACGUGAUUGCAACCCCUUGUUGAGAUUAGAGAUAGCUCGAUAUUCA